rnacentral:rRNA from 1 species
CAGCAGCCACGGUAAUACGUAGGGUGCGAGCGUUAAUCGGAAUUACUGGGCGUAAAGCGUGCGCAGGCGGUUCGUUAAGACAGAUGUGAAAUCCCCGGGCUUAACCUGGGAACUGCAUUUGUGACUGGCGAGCUAGAGUAUGGCAGAGGGGGGUAGAAUUCCACGUGUAGCAGUGAAAUGCGUAGAGAUGUGGAGGAAUACCGAUGGCGAAGGCAGCCCCCUGGGCCAAUACUGACGCUCAUGCACGAAAGCGUGGGGAGCAAACAGGAUUAGAUACCCCAGUAGUCCCUGUCUCUUAUAU